ACAUGCUCUUUCUGUUACUCGUCCUUCAAGAGAUAGAGUCAAUUUCCAUUUCCUUCAACUGAGAAGGGCCUUUGUGACUGCCUUGAUGAACACAAUGAGGUGAAAUUGAGGCUACACAUGAUUUCCAAGGUUAGGUCAUAAAAUAAGACAGCUCCUGCCUGCCUCUGUUCCUCUUGGGACAUUCAUCUUGUAAGAAGUCUAGCUACCCUUAAUUCAGCAUGCUGGAGAGACCCUGUGGAGAGGGCUCACAGGAAUAGAUGUCUCAGGAGCCUCAGCUGUGACAGUUCCCAGACAUGAGAUGAUGAACCUCAAGUACCACCCCAGACAACAAGGCUGCUUCAUCAGGACACAAACCUGCCUGUACCAGUACCUCUGACCUGUGUGCAGAUUACUCAGACCCAGAGAGAGCCUCUCUCCUCAUUGAGACCAAGGUCUGAAAAAACCUAUCUGCUCCCUUGAUAGGGUUGCCAGAUGAAACCCAGAACACCUACUUAAAUUUGAAUUUCAGGGCUUAUUUGCUUCAUGAGAGCUACGUUAUAUAAAAAACAAAAAUGAGACGGGAAAUACAACUUUGGCCAAAUGACGUUUUCACAUAUUUUAGAAUACUAUAAAAAGAAGGAAAAAAAGAAAGUGCCACUUAAGUUACUAGAAUGUUCAACUGGGACUCGCCAUUUCAGAUGUUUUAGACCUCACUGUGGUUGAAUAGAGUCAGAUUAGGUACCUGAGGAAUCAAGGGUUAUCAAGUUACAUAAAGAUGACUGCUUCCCUCCUCGGUCUGGAUUGUUUCUGUUGCCAUGCCAGUGUUAGCCAUCCCCAACCCCUGCCCUUCGCAGCU